rnacentral:lncRNA from 1 species
AAGAAUAAAAGAUGAUCUAGUUGACAGAGUCAGAUAUUACAGUGUUAGUUUAUCCCGAAUCCAGAACCCUUCUUCACACAUAAUUAACUUAGCGUAGUUUACUUUUUUUGUGUGCAAAUGUUCAUAACUCUAAUAUAAUAUUUUAAUCUUAUAAGUACGAGAUUAAUUCCUCAUAUUUUUUUGUUUUUUAAAGUAUGGAUAAUAUAUACAAGUGAUUCGCAAAUUAACAAGGACAAG